AUUGAACGCUGGCGGCAGGCCUAACACAUGCAAGUCGAACGAGUGGCGGACGGGUGAGUAAUGUCUGGGAAACUGCCUGAUGGAGGGGGAUAACUACUGGAAACGGUAGCUAAUACCGCAUACCAUCGGAUGUGCCCAGAUGGGAUUAGCUAGUGGGUGGGGUAACGGCUCACCUAGGCGACGAUCCCUAGCUGGUCUGCGAGGAUGGCCAGCCAGACUGGAACUGAGAACCGGUCCAGACUCCUACGGGAGGAAGCAGUGGGGAAUAUUGCACAAGGGGCGCAAGCCUGAUACAGCCAUGCCGCGUGUAUGAAGAAGGCCUUCGGGUUGUAAAGUACUUUCAGCGGGGAGGCGUUACCCGAAGAAGAAGCACCGGCUAACUCCGUGCCAGCAGCCGCGGUAAUAG
rnacentral:rRNA from 1 species